UUAGAAAAGGAUCUCAUGUGCAAACGGGACGCCUAGCUCCCCAUCUUCUGCUGGAAAAAAAGAUGGAGAUCACUGGAUGAGCAGCUACUGAAAGGUGUGCCAGGACAGGAAACUGCAUUUGUUUUCCGCUGAGGGAGAAGCCUUUGAUGCACAGAGGUUGAUCAGACUGGGGAGUUUCUGCCAUUUCUGUGACGAGGCUGUGGGCACCUCUUGGCUGGCAGCUCCUGUACCGGUUGCUGCUGGGCACAGCGGGUGUCUGGAGAGGGCCUGGUGUAGCAACGAGGAGCACGUCCUGCUGCAUGUCCAUGGAAAUCUCUCUGAAGUUGAACCUAAUUUGGGUGAGUCGGGAUCAUCUUUCUGUCUCAGCUUCAUUUACGAAACAGCUGGGCUGCAGGGAGGUAAAUGUGGCAAAUGGAAACCUCAACUGCCCCAGCUGGAUU
rnacentral:lncRNA from 1 species